rnacentral:rRNA from 1 species
UACGUAGGGUGCAAGCGUUAAUCGGAAUUACUGGGCGUAAAGCGUGCGCAGGCGGUGAUGUAAGACAGGUGUGAAAUCCCCGGGCUCAACCUGGGAACUGCAUCUGUGACUGCAUCGCUGGAGUGCGGCAGAGGGGGAUGGAAUUCCGCGUGUAGCAGUGAAAUGCGUAGAUAUGCGGAGGAACACCGAUGGCGAAGGCAAUCCCCUGGGCCUGCACUGACGCUCAUGCACGAAAGCGUGGGGAGCGAACAGG